rnacentral:rRNA from 1 species
UACGGGGGGAGCAAGCGUUGUUCGGAUUUACUGGGCGUAAAGGGCGCGUAGGCGGUCAGCACAAGUCAGUUGUGAAAUCUCCGGGCUUAACUCGGAAAGGUCAACUGAUACUGUGCGACUAGAGUGCAGAAGGGGCAACUGGAAUUCUCGGUGUAGCGGUGAAAUGCGUAGAUAUCGUAAGGAAGACCAGUGGCGAAGGCGGGUCUCUGGACAGUUCCUGACGCUGAGGCACGAAGGUCCAGGGGGAGCAA